CUAUUUCCCAUACAUUUUCUCAAAUCUACAAACCCUACCUUUCCAGAAUCCUAUUGGUAAUCGAAAAUCUUCGCAAUCAGCCUCAGAAAUCCAAACGUGCCAUCCAACGUUCUAUAGAAGCACAAACCCAUAUUGUGGAUUAAAAAAAUUGUCAGGGGAGGGGAAACCCAAGAGAAUCACCCGUUAGUGGAAAUCAAAAACUGGAUUUAGGGUAAAGAAAUAAAAAUAGUCUUCGAAAACUGGAAGAGAUAACAAACCAGAAUAGGCUGUAAAGCUGAGUUUCUCUUCAUGCGAACCCUCAACCACUCCUCUGCAAAUGGCUGCCUCCGAUGGAAUUUUCGCUGAACUUGCUGCGCAGCACACAACCUUUUGACGAUCUUGGC